rnacentral:rRNA from 1 species
GACGAACCGUGCGAACGUUAUUCGGAAUCACUGGGCUUAAAGCGCGUGUAGGCGGGUCGGUGCGUCGGCCGCUGAAAUCCCCCGGCUCAACCGGGGAAGGGCGCCGAUACGACCGGCCUGGAGCGACGUAGGGGGAACUGGAACUUCCGGUGGAGCGGUGAAAUGCGUUGAGAUCGGAAGGAACGCCCGUGGCGAAAGCGAGUUCCUGGACGUCGGCUGACGCUGAGACGCGAAAGCCAGGGAGCGAACGGG